CACUGCGCACCCCUUGCUGAGAGCAGAGAUGGACAAUGGGCUUUUUGUCCCCUCCAUUCUUCUGAGGCUCCCGUAGAGUGCUCUGUCUUUGAGCAGAUCUGUGCAGGGCAUUGCUGGGCGCCAGCCUGUGGUGGGCUGGUUAAGUGGCCCAAAUUGAGGCAGCUUUGCUACCGGUUUCAAAUUUUUCUUUUGAUGUGCGGCAGGUGUGGCAUGGCCCUUUUUGUGAGAUUUUUUUUUUUUUUUUUGCUUUGAUCCUGGCUUAGAGUGGGUUUGCUGAGAUUUUCCCUGCCAUGGUCCUUUGUUCUCUGUGGACACCAAGAUGUGUUUAUAUGGGUAUACAAGGUCCCAGUGAGAUGAAGUUGCUACGUGGCCCAUCAGUGAAUGGAGUCACCAUGGCUCUGGUUCCCAGGUCCUGCAUUCCUGAGCCCCCUUUAGGCUUUUGUGUCCUAGUAGACACUUCCUUCCACAGUGAGGGUCUUGUACCCCACUUCUCCCUUGGAGUGGAAAGCUGAGAGCGGCUGAGGUGCUGGCCUGCCGACGUUUCUCCUCCACCUAGAGGGAGGGAGGCUUGUUCCUCAACCAGCCUGCUUUCAAAGUCCUGUUUUCCUAAUAAUGUCAAAAGGAAACAAAAAAGGCUGCACCCCCCCCCCCCAAAAAAAAACCCUUUUUUCUUUUUCCUUAAGAGCCUGGGUAUAAAUAAUAAAUAAAUAAAUGGAGCUACACAAAGAGAAGGAUAAAAAAAAUAAAAUCAAAGCUGUAAGCUCUGCACUUGGCCUGAGGUAUAAAUAGCAGGCUCUUAGGAGGCGCCUGGGUGAGCGUCUGAAGUCAUCUCUUCCGUCAGUGACUGCAAGUCAGGAGAGGCGGCUUUUUUUCUUCUUCUUUUCUUCUCCAGGUUGCUUUCUUUUAAGUUUUAAUUAAGAAAAAAUUGAGACAGGGUCUUCAGUAGCCCAGGUUAGCCCCCAACUCAUUCUGGGUCUGAGAAUGACCUUGGGCUGACCCUUCUGCCUCCAUCUUCUCCACGGCAGGAUUGAAGGUGUGCAUCCCCCACGUCUAACUUUUUGCUUUAUCAGCCUUGCCAAGUCUUUGGAUACCCGUGGGUAGACAAGGGAUUUGUCUCAGUCACACUCUGGACUCUCGUUUCUUCUCUGUCCUCCCCUCUCCCUUCCCUGGCCUCCAAACUCCAUUCCUCUCUGGCCCCCAUCUCCCUCCUAGGUUCCUCCUUUUGGUCCUCAGCUGGUAUUUUGGUACAACCAGCUCUCUCCAGGCCCUGGAGACUCGGUGCAGUAAGAGGGCCCCUUGGCCAGAAGGAGUUCGUUGGUACCCACUCCUCAGCUCUGGCUGCUGGGUUGCUCGUGGACAGGACGCUCACCUCAGAACAGGGAGGAUGCUUGGUGAAAGCCAGGCCAGCAGGCUCCUGUGAGUGCCGUCAUUAGCCUACCUCAGGACUGGGCCUGGGCACGGCCAGCAGCAUCUCGCAUCCUUGAAGUGUGAAUCCUUCUGGCAUCUGGACCAUAACUUGAAACAUCUCAGCUUUCCCGGGAUUCGCUGAAAUCCGCCAGCUUGUUGGGCUGGUUGCUGAUGGGGUAGAAGGCACUGGCUCCUGGCGGGUCCUCUGAAGCUGCCCAUUGGCUUAACACUGGAAACUGUUCAAUGCAGCACGGGAGACCUGGAAGAUACAGGCUGGGGCAAUGGACCCUUCUACCCUUGGUGUGGGUGGGUCCCUGGGCUGGGUCCCUCCCACCACACAUUGCUCUGUAGUCCCUAAGGCUGCUCCUGCUUCUGGCCUUCUUUCAUUCAUUGGAUUCAUUGGGUUCAUUGGAUGCCUCCCCUAGGGAGUUUCCCAUGGUUCUCCUGCAUGAUAGGCGGGCACCUCUUCCUUGUUCUUCCACGGCAGUGGCUCUUCUGAGCCUCUUUGGGUACCCACCAUCAGUCAGAGCUGACCCUCCAGGUUAUACCAUGUCUGUAACCUAAGGGAUUAUUAAAGGCAUGCACCACC
rnacentral:lncRNA from 1 species